rnacentral:rRNA from 1 species
CUGGACCGCUCACUAAGCGAGUUUCCCUCAUGAUGCCCGCUGAACUUAAGCGAAGUUUCCUUCCUGAUGACCGCUGAACUUAAGCGAAGUAUCCUCCCUCAUGACAGCGGAUGUUCUGCAACGUGUACUUCUCUCCGGGGGCGGAACAUCAUAGAGGGUGAGACUCCCGUCACUGAGCGGACUACCAGUGAAUUGUGGUAUGCUCUCAACGAGUCGAGUUGUUUGGGAAUGCAGCUCAAAAUGGGUGGUAAAUUCCAUCUAAAGCUAAAUAUUGGCGAGAGACCGAUAGCGAACAAGUACCGUGAGGGAAAGAUGAAAAGAACUUUGGAAAGAGAGUUAAACAGUACGUGAAAUUGCUGAAAGGGAAACGCUUGAAGUCAGUCGCGUUGGCCAGGGAUCAGCCUUGCUCUUGCAUGGUGUACUUUCUGGUUGACGGGUCAGCAUCAAUUUUGACCGCUGGAAAAGUUCCUGGGGAAUGUGGCAGCUCCGGCUGUGUUAUAGCCCCUGGUUGCAUACAGUGGUUGGGAUUGAGGAACUCAGCACGCCGCAAGGCCGGGUUUUUAACCACGUUCGUGCUUAGGAUGCUGGCAUAAUGGCUUUAAGCGACCCGUCUUGAAACACGGACCAAGGAGUCUAACAUGCCUGCGAGUGUUUGGGUGAUAAACCCGAGCGCGUAAUGAAAGUGAAAGUUGAGAUCCCUGUCGUGGGGAGCAUCGACGCCCGGACCAGAACUUUUGGGACGGAUCCGCGGUGGAGCAUGUAUGUUGGGACCCCAAGAUGGUGAAUUAUGCCUGACUAGGGUGAACCCAGAGGAACUCUGGUGGAGGCUCGUAUCGAUUCUGGACCUUGCUAAUCGAUUGGGCAAAUUUGGGUAUAGGGGCGAAAGACUAAUCGAACCUUCUAGCAGUUGGGUCCUGCGAAAGUCUCCCAUCAAGAUA